rnacentral:rRNA from 1 species
AGAGUUUGAUCCUGGCUCAGGACGAACGCUGGCGGCGUGCCUAAUACAUGCAAGUCGAGCGGGGAUUAUGCUUGAUCGCUUCGGUGAGACGGCAUAUAUCCUAGCGGCGGACGGGUGAGUAACGCGUGGGUAAUCUACCUCGUAGUUCGGGAUAACAGGCCGAAAGGCUUGCUAAUACCGGAUGAGUUCAUGCUUAUGCAUAUAGGCAUGAAGAAAGGGCUAGCCCGCUAUGAGAUGAGCCCGCGUCCCAUUAGCUUGUUGGUGGGGUAAUGGCCUACCAAGGCAACGAUGGGUAGCCGGCCUGAGAGGGUGUACGGCCACACUGGGACUGAGACACGGCCCAGACUCCUACGGGGGGCAGCAGUAGGGAAUUUUCGGCAAUGGGCGAAAGCCUGACCGAGCGACGCCGCGUGAGGGACGAAGGCCUUCGGGUUGUAAACCUCUGUCUGGGGGGACGAGAACGGACGGUACCCCCGGAGGAAGCCCCGGCUAACUACGUGCCAGCAGCCGCGGUAAU